CUUGCUGUCUUUGCUGGUUCCUGUUUGCUGUUUUGCAGCCACCAUGAACUGCGGCCCAGCCAUGCCCAUCUGCCUUGGAGCCAACUGAACGUGGACUGAAACCUCCAAAAACUGAAAAAUAGAGGAGGAAGAAGAAGGGAAAGAGACCUUAGGAGGAGCCCAUCACAAGCUGCAGGGCUGGAAUCUAUGGCUCCGGAGAAGAAUGAGGGAGGGACAGUCCAGAGUGAAGGUAGAUGAGGCUGGCCACACUCCAUUUCCUGCAGACAGGUGAAAGAUGAAAACCACCACAGCCAGAGGGAACGCCAUGAAGACUGAGCCUUAAGCAAGACCUUAAGAAAACCUGUUUUAAGAAAUGAGACUAUUUUAUGUAAACAGUGACUUCAAGACUUUCUCUUACCUGAGGGUAAUGAAUUUGGUGGAGGAAAAUCUUCUCUUAUUAAAUCUACUUUACAUGAACACAAGAUACUAAACGUGGAUUUUUAUGGUCACACUCUUAAGCCUGUACUUAAUCAGUGAUUUAUAUCAUUUAUAAAAUCUAUAAUUUAAAUUUGAAAGACCCUGAUUAUAAUUGUAAAGGGAAAAGCAUGAAUAAAUGAUUUAUCUAAGUUUAUCUGCACUGAUAUCAAAAGAAAAUGGUUGUGGUGCCUUAGAAUAAAAACCUAUGAAAAAAAACAAUGACUACAUUAAUUUAACUGUACAGCAGUUUCAUACUUAUCAAUAAAAAUA